GAGGACUACAAACAGAGAGAGAGAGAAUGAAAAGAACAAAGUGUGAAGCACAUUUCUCCAAAGUCAGGUCACUGCUUUCAAAACAAUUAACAUCUGAAUACUUUGUCCUAAAUGGAUGUCAAAUUGCAAGCAUAAUUUUCCACAAACUUUAUAUAACCAACUAGAACUUUAAUAUAUCAGGUAUUUUCAGCACUAACUUAUUGCACCUUGUGUUCUUUUUAUUCUGGAUGAUUCUGGAGUUGGAUAGCAAUGCUACUCAUUUUGAGUGGCUGUACAUUGAUGAAGCUGGCUACAAUCUCAUAAUUGAAGAAUAUGACCACACUUAGUGUCCCUGGUCAUCAGGGAGAAAACAUCACCAUGUCUGCUGAAAUUUUAACCACUGGUGUUGUGGCACACAAUGCUGUCUUGAAGCCAUACAACACCACAAGUAUCCUAAAUUCAUGAAAUCCUCAACAAAUAGAGUGAAAUUUCCACCAGAGAAAAAUGCUGUGCUCAUUAUGCAGAAACUGUUUGGCCAAGAUAAGAGUGGGCUUAGCUGGCUGUGUUAAUUGUUUUAAGAGCAGCGACAUUAAUUUGGAGUAAAUGUGUAAAAUCAAUCAAGAGAAGCUUAUGAAAAAGAAAUCAGUUACACAACAGUUCAUUUAAAAAGGAGACAAGCAAGUGAGUCUGAAUCAGAGAAAGAGCUCCAGUGAUGAAGAUGCUUUCUGUUAUAAAUGUUUCCUUCUUGUCUAUUGUACAUAUAUACAGUAACAAAAAAAGUUUACAGAAAAACAAUCACACCACAGCAGCACAGAAACACACUUAGGUCCUAUUGUUCCUUCUAUCAGCACUCAGCCACAUGGGCUUCCUAAUGGCCAAUCUGCCUGCCCGAGUCUGAUAUGCCAUGUCUGAUCCUAUACCUCCUGACAGCUGAAAGACAUCCUGAUGAAGAGCUUUGGCUUAAUGCAUAUGCUUGAGCCUGCAUCAGCCUCUUGCUUCUUAUUUUCUACAGUGGCUAGCAUUUUAUAUCCGAAUGAUGCUAACCCUUAUCAUGAGUGAUGAGAAAAUGGUGAAAUAACUUCGCACCAAUAAUUCCAGUGAGAAAGUGGAAGAACCUUCUUUUUUUCUGGUGUGAGUGAGUCUCAACUGAAUGAUAGUCUGUGUUAUAUUUUAUCUGUAAUAUUUGAGAUGAUAGAGCCACUCUCAUUCCUGUCAGUUCACUGGAACACUGUGUGACCUAGUGCUGUCACAACACCGCUUGAGAAUAUAUGCUGCAAGGUAACAUUUGGGUUCUACUCCAAAUAUGUUUCAAUCUAAAUAAAAUGUUAUUAACAGCCAUGCCAUUUAGUUAUAUUUUAUACUUCCAAAUCAGCUAAGUCAGUUCAUUGUUAAUGAAUCUCUAUAUUUUUCCUGAUCAGCUCAUUCAACUGCUAUACCUCCACCAUCCUGCAGAAGGAGGUGUUCUCAUGAGAAGAGCAGCACUGAGGCUCUGAAUCCUGCUGCAGCUGUAAUGCAGACGAAGAAUGAAGUAUCUUUACGACUAUACUUUUCAUCGCAGAAAAAAACCAUUCAGACAAUUUUUCCUUUCUGUUCAUUAUAAGCAACAAUGAGGACUAAAAGACUAUGAAUAAUGGCUCAUCCUUUGCUGUGAAAACCAUACCUGUAUGGGCUGAACAGUUAAGCUUCUGGAUUGCUGAUCAAAACAUCAGGGGUUCAACCCCCAGAACUGCCAAGCUGCCACUGUUUGGGCCUUCAGCAAGGCCCUGAACCCUCUCUGCUCCAAGGGGCUGUACCAUGGCUGACCCUGCGCGCUGACCCCAACUUCCCAACAAGCUGGGAUAUGUGAAAAACUAAAGAAUUUCACUGUGCUGUAAUGUAUAAGUGACAAUUUAAACCAGGAAUUGUGUCAAACACACAGGGAUAGGCUCCAAAAUAGAAAGGAUAAUAUAAAAAAAAAAAAAGCCAAAAAAAUCAAUUUGAGAAGGUUUUUUUUGGAAAUAAAGGUUGUUUUCUGUUAUUUAGUCAAAGAAGAGUUGUUCAUAAAUAACAAUCUGCAAUUGUAGAUACCAUCUUGUACCAGCAAGUCAUCCUAAAGAGCAAAGUAUGGAGCUAAGGAGCAAACACUUUGCUAGUGCUUGAACCAUUCCAGUUGGUACACCUGUCCCAGAGCUGUUGGGCACUUGGUCUUGCUCUAAAACCAUUUGGUUGCAUUGAAAGAGGUUUCCUUUGGGAAUAAAUGAUCCAUGCCUGUCAUGUCCACAACCUUUGACUUGCUUAGAUGAAUCAUUGUUUUCACCAACUUGACCAGUGCAGCGUAUACCAUCUGGUGCACAUAUGUUAGGGUCUCAAAGUAAAUAAGACUUUUAGUACCCUUGGUGCUCAUUAUAAAUAUUUAGUGAUACUUGGCUUGUCCAAUAGUUUUAUAGAUUUUCUUGCUGUUGUGCACUGGCUGGAUGUCAAGGGAGAGAAGUGUUCCACAGCUUCCAUACCACAUCCCAAAUCUCCCUUAAGGGUCCAGAGACAGGUUCGAGGGGACAGGGUACUACAUGCCACCAAGCUGUUUUUGAAUGAAUAGAGACAGUGGUCACAAAAACAAAGCAACCUUCAGUAUCUAAGACCCUGGCCUCUCAGAGCUAAGGACAGUCUGCCAGUUUCCGAAGGCUGCUUCGAGGUGGUGAGUGAGAGGGGGCGUGGACAACAGCAUCAACUCAUGCAGUGUAUGCGCUCCUGCAGCAGGGCCUUGUAAGGAAUAGAAGCUUUGGAGAGCCUGGAUGAGAAGAGUCUGCCCGUCACAUUAGAGUCACGUUUGACAUCUAAGUGGCUGUGGGCCAAGCGAGUGCAGUUUCUUCAGCUGCACUGCCACAACGGUUCUCAAGAGGGUCCUGACCUUAUGAGUGCAAUAAAAAUCACAUACAGUGUUUUAAUCAACCUCAAAACCAACAAGCAGGCAGUUUUACAACACACUGCAGAUUAUAUACAACCGGUGCAGCCUACCUUCACAUCUCCCCAAUCAACACAUGCUCCUGAAACACUCUGUGUUUCAUCCGUGCUGUUUCAUUUCGCAGCUCAAAUGAGCCGUAUUAUUUUCGGAUCUAAAAAUAAUCUAUCUAAAAGCGAUCGUUUAUCUAAAGGCAAUGUAAGUGGCAGAACAGGUGAAAAAUUCCAUUUCUCAAAAAUCAUUCAUGAUAUGUUUAAAAGAAAAGCAUUCUGGGCUUGUCACGGUGCACGCUUGAUCUCGUUUUUAUCUUGCAGCCUCGUAGGAAGGGUGGACUCGCAUUUCUUGAAAAGUCAGGACUUGUGGUUGAAAGGUCGCAGCUCUUUCCGCUGUCACAUCCGGCUUAGUAGCGAUACUAAAAACACACAGUCUAGGAGACUGUGACUAGACUACGCAUGGGAUGAAGGAUGAAACCAGGUUCAGGGAUGACCUUUUCCACAGAUACGCAGAGAAUAAAACAGGAUGGGGCAUGUUGUUAUAGGAAACUAAUCCACAGACCUGAAGCUGAGAAGCCUGCUUUAAACUGGAGCCUUGAGUGUACUUUCAUAAAGAGCAGCAAUGCAAAAUUGACUUGAUAUCACUCACAUCUCUGCCCAUCAGCUUUCCAAGAAGAACAUUCCACUGUCUUCAUCACUGUUUCAAUGAGCUCCUUUUAAAAGAAUUUACUAAUUUUAGAAAAUCCAGAAGACUGGUACACAAAACAGACCUAUCAUUAGAUAUGAAGGCUGAAGGGUUGAAGUUCGUCACAAAACAUUUGACUAACAGGUCAAUCCAGACAGCAGUUUCUCUUAGUAGGGACUCCUCUUUUGGGAACCAAUGGCUUUCAGUUGGGGUUGUGCUGCUACUUACUACUGAAAUCACAGGUUCUCUCGUUCUCCCUUUGAAGUACUGCAGCCUCUGAGAUUUUUGGACUGUCUGUCCCUGUCUCUGAAGGAUUGUGGAUACUCUUUCUUCCCAUUUGGAAGCAGAGAAGAUGCUCUUUCUUCAUCUGUCAGAUCACAGAUUCUCUCUCUCUCGCCCUGUGAAGGAUCACAGACACUCUCGCUCAGUCUUACUCAGUAUGUGGACACUCCCAGUCAUUCUCCUACAUGGACAACAGCCCUUCUCUCUAUCACCGUCUUUGCAAAUAACCUAUUACUCACUCUCCCCAUUAUCCCAACCGUUGUCCGCUAAGCAUUCAACAACCCCUCUACAUUCACCUGUUCCUGUUCACUCAGUCACGCCAAACACCACCAUUCAUCUCAAACCUCCACACACAUGAAUUCUUUAAUGUAUGCAGCCCAUACAGGUGUGGCUCUCCAAUCAGUCACAUUUUACACACGCAGGGAAAAGGAUCUAUGUAUCUGGAGGCCUUGAAAUCCUUUCUGCAGCAGCAUCAAAUGUAGGGAUUCCCAAAAAACACUCAGUUAAUACUAAAUGAGAUGUUCAGUGUUCGAACACACUGAGCUAACACACUGGUUUCUCUUCCUAUGCGGCUCAAUGCUUAUGUAUCUGGGUGGCUGAUUGGAACAACAGGGGUUCAAGCCCCAAUAUCACCAGGCUGCCACUGUUGGACCCUUGACCCUCUGUGCUGCAGGGGCUGUAACAUGGCUGACCCUGUGCUCUGACCCAAUGUAGCUAACAAGCUUGGACAUGUGAAAAAAGAGUAUUACAUUGUGCUGUAAUGUAUAUGUGACAAAUAAAGGCUUUAUGACACCAGAGGGCCAUUGUUUGCUAGCUGAAGAAAAAACAAUAUCAAUCACUUAACUGCGAUUUUAGUCUUUUUAGUGCAGUAUAAGACAGGAAAAAGCACAGUAGAAGAGUUUUAAAAGUAUUGGAACGAGACGAGAAAAUGGCGGACAGUAGACCACAGGAAAGGAAUUUGUACUCCAGUGUCAUACAGAAGUGUGCACCACUUCAUUUUGGAUGAAUAGUAAAUACUUGGCUUGUGUACUAGGGCCUGGCACCAAUAAGUGGCAGCGAAGGAAUCCUGCCGUUUGUUUCCACUGGAGAGAUGGCCACUGGCAGCAUUUCCUAAACCCCGUAGCCACAACACAUGGAGCUAACACACUGAUUUCCCUUACUCUUAUGAGUAUCACAUCAACUUUAUGCACUGGAUAUUUCAGCAUAGAACUACAAGUUAAGCAUAGUAGCAGGACAGUCCAAGGUCCACAGGAGGUAUGACUACAUACCUUUUUUCCACUCUCACUGUUACCUGACACUGUUUCAAACUGAUGCACACAAUUACUCAGACUAAUCUAGGGCUGCUCUUGACCUAUAUCGGGCACGCUACUCACAGUCGUUUCUGCAGCUGGGAAUAAAAAAGAGAGAGAAUGAUGACUUAUGGUUUUGAUUGGUCGAUUGUGGCUUUCAUAAACGGAUAGCGGCCCAAUUGGUCAUUACUGAUGAGAUCAUUUGACAAAACGAGAGGAAAAUGUGUCAGCA